rnacentral:rRNA from 1 species
UUGACCUCAAAUCGGGUGAGACUACCCGCUGAACUUAAGCUAUA